rnacentral:lncRNA from 1 species
GCCAAACCUAUUAGGGUACUGAUUUGAUUUGCUUUAAUGGAAUGUAUCUGCUAUUUGUAUUGAAAGCUAAGUCUCCUCCUGUUUCCUGAUUAAGAGGUGAUGACUACUCCACUCCACUACCAUUGUCAACUCUCUCCUUACAUGAACUGAAGCCAUGUCUCAUGUACCUGCUCAUCCACUGGCACAUUGAAUUCAAAUCCUGUCCUGCCCUCAGUGGAAGUUGAGCUCUUCCUCAACACCAUCCAUCCAUGAUGAGCCUGUCCUGCACUGAAGCCAAUGAACACCUCAAACCCGGUCCUGCAUUGAAGUCAAGCCUGUGAACACCUCAACUCAUGCCUCAUACCCUCAUUCAAUCACUGCUGUAAUCCCUUCCCAACACUGUCAGAUCUGUGGUUAUCAGUCCCUGUAUCUAUUCGACCCUCGCUUACAAGACAGUGGUAAUCCAAACAACGUCACCGCCCUGAAUGCUGGACCCCGCUGCACCCCGGUGGACCUUGGGGCCACCCAUGGGGGUGUGUGUGUGUAUGGAGAAGACAGGGGGUCUGCUAUCGUGACCCCUGGCAGGUGCUUUUGGCGCUACGGUGUGUGUGAUUGUGUGAUUGUGUGCAUGCACUCUCAGGUAGAGAGCUGUCUUGUCAAUGUUGUCAAUGUAUUAGCCAACCAGUUUAGCCAACCACAGAGUCCUGAGAGAGAAGACACGACAGACCCUACUAGCACCCCUCUCCAACCCCUGCUCUCCCUCCCAGGCUCCCAGCAACCCCACAUGGGCUCCAGAGAGU